rnacentral:rRNA from 1 species
GAUGAACGCUGGCGGCGUGCCUAAUACAUGCAAGUCGAGCGAACAGAUAAGGAUCUUGCUCCUUUGACGUUAGCGGCGGACGGGUGAGUAACACGUGGUUAACCUACCUAUAAGACUGGGAUAACUUCGGGAAACCGGAGCUAAUACCGGAUAACAUUUUGAACCGCAUGGUUCUAAAGUUAAAUAUGGUUUUUCUAUCACUUAUAGAUGGACCCGCGCCGUAUUAGCUAGUUGGUAAGGUAACGGCUUACCAAGGCAACGAUACGUAGCCGACAUGAGAGGGGGAACGGCCAAACGGGAAGGGAGACACGGACCAGAAGCCUACGGGAGGCAGCAGCAGGGAAGAUGCCGCAAUGGGCGAAAGCAUGACGGAGCAAAGCCGCGUGAGUGAUGAAGGGUUUCGGAUCGUAAAACUCUGUUAUUAGGGAAGAACAAAAGUGUAAGUAACUGUGCACGUAUUGACGGUAACUAAUCAGAAAGCAACGGCUAACUACGUG